GUAGUCUCGCACAGAUGCAUAUCAAUAAGCGGAGGAAAAGAAACUAACAUAGGAUUCCCUCAGUAACGGCGAGUGAAGCGGGAAGAGCUCAAAUUUGAAAUCUUCAAGGGUUCUACCUUUACGAAUUGUAGUUUAAAGAAGUGUUUUCUGUUGGAGUUUUGGUAAAAGUUCUUUGGAAUAGGACAUCAUAGAGGGUGAGAAUCCCGUAUUUGACCAUUAUUUCCAGCUUUGUGAUACACUUUCAAAGAGUCGGAUUGUUUGGGAAUGCAGUCCAAAAUGGGUGGUAAAUUUCAUCUAAAGCUAAAUAUUGGCGAGAGACCGAUAGCGAACAAGUACCGUGAGGGAAAGAUGAAGAGAACUUUGAAAAGAGAGUUAAACAGUACGUGAAAUUGUCAAAAGGGAAGCGUUUGACACCAGUGUUGUUUUCUCGAAAAUCAAUUAAAAAAGGCAGGAUUUUGUGUUGUAUUGACUUUAUCAGCUUUCUGCACUCUUUUCUUGUCUUUUUUUAAUGCACUUUUCGUUUAACAAGUCAACAUCAAUUUCUUUUGUUGUAAAAGGGUCAUUGGAAGGUGGCUUUCUUUUCGGAGAAAGUGUUUAUAGCCUUUGGCCUCUGCAAUCGGAGAGAUUGAGGUCUGCAGCGUAGAUCCUUCGGGGUUAGAUACAUUUGUGCUAAGUUAUAGCCUUUCAUAGACAACUUGUUGACUAUGAUCAGUCAUGUAGCUUACUCGCUUAUGCUAUUUUACCUACGCUUAGGAUGUUGAAGUCAUCGUAUCGCGC
rnacentral:rRNA from 1 species